GAUGAACGCUGGCGGCGUGCCUAAUACAUGCAAGUCGAGCGAACAGACGAGGAGCUUGCUCCUCUGACGUUAGCGGCGGACGGGUGAGUAACACGUGGAUAACCUACCUAUAAGACUGGGAUAACUUCGGGAAACCGGAGCUAAUACCGGAUAAUAUGUUGAAUCGCAUGGUUCAACAGUGAAAGACGGUCUUGCUGUCACUUAUAGAUGGAUCCGCGCCGCAUUAGCUAGUUGGUAAGGUAACGGCUUACCAAGGCAACGAUGCGUAGCCGACCUGAGAGGGUGAUCGGCCACACUGGAACUGAGACACGGUCCAGACUCCUACGGGAGGCAGCAGUAGGGAAUCUUCCGCAAUGGGCGAAAGCCUGACGGAGCAACGCCGCGUGAGUGAAGAAGGUCUUCGGAUCGUAAAACUCUGUUAUUAGGGAAGAACAAAUGUGUAAGUAACUAUGCACGUCUUGACGGUACCUAAUCAGAAAGCCACGGCUAGCUACGUG
rnacentral:rRNA from 1 species